UGAAGCCUAGCUUGCUGGGUGGAUUAGUGGCGAACGGGUGAGUAACACGUGAGUAACCUGCCCUUGACUCUGGGAUAAGCCUGGGAAACUGGGUCUAAUACCGGAUACGACCAUUGCCCGCAUGGGUUGGUGGUGGAAAGCUUUUGUGGUUUUGGAUGGACUCGCGGCCUAUCAGCUUGUUGGUGAGGUAAUGGCUCACCAAGGCGACGACGGGUAGCCGGCCUGAGAGGGUGACCGGCCACACUGGGACUGAGACACGGCCCAGACUCCUACGGGAGGCAGCAGUGGGGAAUAUUGCACAAUGGGCGAAAGCCUGAUGCAGCGACGCCGCGUGAGGGAUGACGGCCUUCGGGUUGUAAACCUCUUUCAGUAGGGAAGAAGCGAAAGUGACGGUACCUGCAGAAGAAGCGCCGGCUAACUACGUGCCAGCAGCCGCGGUAAUACGUAGGGCGCAAGCGUUAUCCGGAAUUAUUGGGCGUAAAGAGCUCGUAGGCGGUUUGUCGCGUCUGCUGUGAAAGGCCAGGGCUCAACCCUGGUUCUGCAGUGGGUACGGGCAGACUUGAGUGAUGUAGGGGAGACUGGAAUUCCUGGUGUAGCGGUGAAAUGCGCAGAUAUCAGGAGGAACACCGAUGGCGAAGGCAGGUCUCUGGGCAUUAACUGACGCUGAGGAGCGAAAGCAUGGGGAGCGAACAGGAUUAGAUACCCUGGUAGUCCAUGCCGUAAACGUUGGGCACUAGGUGUGGGGGACA
rnacentral:rRNA from 1 species